rnacentral:rRNA from 1 species
UCAAGCGAAAAAGAGCAUAGGGAGGAUGCCUUGCCACUAGGAGCCGAAGAAGGACGCGGCAAGCUGCGAAAAGCCAUGGGGAGCGGCAAGCAAGCAUUGAUCCAUGGAUGUCCGAAUGGGGAAACCCGGCGGGGGUAAUGCCCCGUCACCCAUAGAUGAACACAUAGUCUAUGAGGAGGGAACCCGGUGAACUGAAACAUCUAAGUAGCCGGAGGAAGAGAAAGAAACAUCGAUUUCCUAAGUAGCGGCGAGCGAAAGGGAAAGAGCCCAAACCGGGGGGAGCAAUUCUCCCGGGGUAUGGACCAGUGACAUGUGAGGUAGAGUUAGUAGAAUAGGGAAGGAAAGCCCAGCCAAAGAGGGUAACAGCCCCGUAUACGAAAACGAAGCCAAGCUAACUGGAAUCCGGAGUACCACGGAACACGAGGAAUUUUGUGGGAAGAUAGGAGGACCACCUCCUAAGGCUAAAUACUACCUAGUGAGCGAUAGCGGAUAGUACCGUGAGGGAAAGGUGAAAAGCACCCCGGGAGGGGAGUGAAAGAGAACCUGAAACCCUAUGUUUACAAACAGCGGAAGCACUUUAGGGUGCGACCGUGUACUUUUUGUAGAACGGGCCGGCGAGUUACUUUGUGUAGCAAGGUUAAGGCAUAGCAGUGCCGGAGCCGAAGGGAAACCGAGUCUUAACAGGGCGCACAGUUGCAUGAAGUAGACCCGAAACCAGGUGACCUAUCCAUGUGCAGGUUGAAGUGAAAGUAAAAUUUCAUGGAGGACCGAACCAGACGUCUGUGAAAAAGGCGGGGAUGACAUGUGGAUAGCGGAGAAAUUCCAAUCGAACUUGGAGAUAGCUGGUUCUCCCCGAAAUAGCUUUAGGGCUAGCCUCAUACAAGAGACCUGGAGGUAAGGCACCCAAUGGGCUAGGGGGCUUCACAGCUUACCGAACCUUAUGGAACCAAGAAUGCCAGGGACUCGAUGUAUGGGAGUCAGACUGCGGGAGAUAAGUUUCGUAGUCAAGAGGGAAACAGCCCAGAUCACCGGCUAAGGUCCCAAAGUGCAGGUUAAGUGGAGAAGGAUGUGCAAUUGCAUAGACAACCAGGAUGUUGGCUUAGAAGCAGCCACACAUUGAAAGAGUGCGUAACAGCUCACUGGUCGAGUGAUUGUGCGCCGAAAAUGUCCGGGGCUAAACCUGACACCGAAGCCGUGGGAAUGAUUAGUUGAUUUAUUGAUUAGUUGUUCGGUAGGGGAGCAUCGUAUGAGAGCAGAAGCGUGAGCGAAAGCGAGCGUGGAUUUUAUAGGAGAGAGAAUGCCGGCAUGAGUAGCGAGAGCAAAGUGAGAAUCUUUGCCGUCGAAUGCCUAAGGUUUCCAGAGGAAGGCUCGUCCACUCUGGGUAAGUCGGGACCUAAGCCGAGGACGUAGAAGUCGUAGGCGAUGGACAACAGGUUGAUAUUCCUGUACCACCGAGCGUUGAUAUGGAAGCACUGACACAGGAGGAUAAGCAGAGCGGGCUGAUGGUAGAGCCCGUCCAAGCGUUGAGGCUGGAGCGUAGUGAAGUACGCGCUUCGUAAGGCUGGGGCGUGAUGGGGACAGAAAACAAGUAUGGAAGCUGCUGAAUUCACACUGGCGAGAAAAGGUGCUACAUGAUGCGAGGUGCCCGUACCGCAAACCGACACAGGUAGGCGAGGAGAGAAUCCUAAGACGGACGGGAGAACCCUUGUUAAGGAACUCGGCAAAAUAACCCCGUAACUUCGGGAGAAGGGGUGCCUCGAGAGAGGCCGCAGUGAAAAGGCCCAAGCGACUGUUUAGCAAAAACACAGGUCUGUGCAAAAUCGAGAGAUGACGUAUACGGGCUGACGCCUGCCCAGUGCCGGAAGGUUAAGGGGAAGUGUUAGGAGCAAUCCGAAGCACGGAACUUAAGCCCCGGUGAACGGCGGCCGUAACUAUAACGGUCCUAAGGUAGCGAAAUUCCUUGUCGGGUAAGUUCCGACCCGCACGAAUGGCGUAACGACUUGGGCACUGUC